rnacentral:tRNA from 1 species
GGAGGGAUGUCCGAGUGGUUUAAGGUGCACGCUUGGAAAGCGUGUGUGCUGUAAAAAGCACCGUGAGUUCGAAUCUCUCUCCCUCCG